GACGAACGCUGGCGGCGGGCUUAACACAGAAUGAAGAAACGAGUGGCGGACGGGUGAGUAACGCGUAAAGAACUUGCCUCACAGGUAGGGAAAAAAUUUGGAAACGAAGGCUAUAACGUAAUACUGUGAGAGAGCUUUGCGUCCCAUUAGCUAGUUGGAGAGGUAACGGCUCACCAAGGCGAUGAUGGGUAGCCGGCCUGAGAGGGGGAUCGGCCACAAGGGUACUGCGACCCGGCCCUUACUCCUACGUGCGGCAGCAGUGGGGAACAUUUGACAACGUGCCAAUGUCUGAACCAGCCAUUCUGUGUGCACGAUGCAGUUUUCGGAAUGUAAAGUGCUUUCAGUUGGGAAGCGGUACCAACAGAAGAAGGGACGGCUAAAUCCGUGCCAGCCGCCGCGGUAAUAC
rnacentral:rRNA from 1 species